AUAGCAUAUAUUAAAGUUGUUGCAGUUAAAAAGCUCGUAGUUGGAUUUCUGGGAGGGUGCCAAUGUCCGCUUGAUGCGUGUGCAGCGGUGCCCUUCCAUCCUUCUGUUAACGUUUCUUGGUAUUAACUUACUGGUUGCGGGCUCAGAUAUUUUACCUUGAGAAAAUUAGAGUGUUUCAGGCAGGCUUGCGCCCGAAUACAUUAGCAUGGAAUAAUAGAAUAGGACUUUGGUCUCCUUUGUUGGUUUGAGGGACUGGAGUAAUGAUUAAUAGGGACAGUUGGGGGCAUUAGUAUUUUAUUGUCAGAGGUGAAAUUCUCGGAUUUGUAAAAGACUAACUUAUG
rnacentral:rRNA from 1 species